GGGUGGCGGUGGCGAAGGGCUUUUGCGCUGACUCGGACACAAGAGAGGCCAAAAGGGGUUUCAAGCUUGAUGGGUCUUGCAGCUUCUGGUCGGCGCAGCCUUUGUAGAUGAGCUGGGAAAGAGAGGAAGGGUGAGUAUAUUGGCUUGUGGGUGAAUUAUUGCGAUGGCCUAAAAGGGAAUGCGAUUGAGUGCUGGAAUUAUUUUGACCAGAAUCAUCAAAGGUAGUAACUUUUGAUGGAAAAUAAAUAAUAAAUUUUGCAGUCAGAGGUGGGCCUGUUAAUGUUCUUUGUGGUACCGAUGGGACCCGCGGCGGUUUUUAACGCGUCCGACACUGGCACUGUUGUAAAUCAGCUUCAGCGGGGAAAAAACAAAGUAGACACAGUUCGUGUGCCUGUUGCUGUUUACUACCAUGUAACACAAUUUUUUAUUUAUUAAUUUUACAUUUUCAUGAUGCGUCACGUACACUAGGUUAUCAUCAAUGAAUGCUUCCAACUAUUGUGUACUUAUGUUAGAGGUGAUUUUUGAUGGCGGUGACACUUUUUUUUUUCCUCCUCUUCUUGUGCGAGUUGUGAUUUGCACUGCAAUGGAAGAAUGUGAGUUCAGAUUUCAUUUAUGAGAAUAGAACGCACAAGUGCGAAACUUCUACAAUGAGACAAAAAAAGUGUACGAGUUUGAGUCUUUCACGACCAAGUGUGGAUUAACCUUAGAGGAUUAGUGGGAACACAAACUCUUCACUCUUCUUUUCUUACACAAUGGCAGAAACGUGGAGGUAAGUGUGAAGAGGGGAAACGAAACUAAUAAGGAGAAGGAUCAAAAUCAUAAUUCUGUUAGAAUUUUGGAGACUUAGUAUUAUAUAUAGGCUAUUCUCUUUCCUUUGUAAAAAGCAGAUUUUAGAUUCAGUAAUAAAAGUAUUUUUCA